rnacentral:rRNA from 1 species
CGGAGGGUGCAAGCGUUAUCCGGAUUUACUGGGUUUAAAGGGUGCGCAGGCGGAUAUGUAAGUCAGUGGUGAAAUCUCCGGGCUUAACCCGGAAACUGCCGUUGAUACUAUAUAUCUUGAAUGCUGUGGAGGUAAGCAGAAUAUGUCAUGUAGCGGUGAAAUGCUUAGAUAUGACAUAGAAUACCUAUUGCGAAGGCAGCUUACUACACAGAUAUUGACGCUCAUGCACGAAAGCGUGGGGAUCAAACAGGAUUAGAUACCCUGGUAGUCCACGCCCUAAACGAUGAUUACUCGACAUACGCGAUACACAGUGUGUGUCUGAGCGAAAGCAUUAAGUAAUCCACCUGGGAAGUACGAUCGCAAGAUUG